UACGUAGGGGCAAGCGUUGUCCGGAAUCAUUGGGCGUAAAGCGCGUGUAGGCGGUCCGAUAAGUCGGUUGUGAAGUCAAGGGCUCAACCCUUGAAUGCCGACCGAUACUGUCGGCUAGAGUCCGGAAGAGGUGAGUGGGAAUUCCUGGUGUAGCGGUGAAAUGCGCAGAUAUCAGGAGGAACACCAAUGGCGAAGGCAGCUCACUGGACGGUACUGACGCUGAGACGCGAAGCGUGGGGAGCAAACAGG
rnacentral:rRNA from 1 species